rnacentral:rRNA from 1 species
AUUGAACGCUGGCGGCAGGCCUAACACAAGCAAGUCGAGCGGGAACUUCGGUUCUAGCGGCGGACGGGUGAGUAAUGCGUAGGAAGCUACCCGACAGAGGGGGAUACCAGUUGGAAACGACUGUUAAUACCGCAUAAUGUCUACGGACCAAAGUGUGGGACCUUCGGGCCACAUGCUGUCGGAUGCGCCUACGUGGGAUUAGCUAGUUGGUGAGGUAAUGGCUCACCAAGGCGACGAUCCCUAGCUGGUUUGAGAGGAUGAUCAGCCACACUGGAACUGAGACACGGUCCAGACUCCUACGGGAGGCAGCAGUGGGGAAUAUUGGACAAUGGGCGCAAGCCUGAUCCAGCCAUGCCGCGUGUGUGAAGAAGGCCUUCGGGUUGUAAAGCACUUUCAGUAGGGAGGAAGGAGUUGUAGUUAAUAGCUGCAACUUUUGACGUUACCUACAGAAGAAGCACCGGCUAACUCUGUGCCAGCCGCCGCAGUAAGAC